GGGGCUGUGGCGCAGCGGGAGCGCGCUUCCAUGGCAUGGAAGAUGUCAGGGGUUCAAAUCCCCUCAGCUCCACCA
rnacentral:tRNA from 1 species